UCUAAGCCAAUUCACCUUAUAUAGACCAAGAGUAGAGCGGGAAAUCUUCAUAAACUAAAACACUGUGGUAAAGUCAUCUCGACAAGGGACAAAUUCAACAAAGAUGAAUCAACUAAUAAAUAUAUUCCUGGUUCUUGGAGUGAUAAUCUGUAGUGUCGAAUCUAUGGACAAAGAUUGUCUGGAUGACUGUUUUGGCGCUUAUUCCUCUUGUCAAAUGUCAACGUCCUGCUACGACAAAGCAUCCUGUGGCGUAUGCCUCAAAAAAUAUAGUGCUUGUACUAAAAACUGCUCGAGAAAAAGAAGCUAUGUCCCUGAAUCUGUUAUCGACUUAAGACGAAGACUACGACUAGGAUAUUAACUCUAACAGAAUGAGAAAAUUAGUUUUAAAGAAAGUUAAUGAAUAUUUUAAUGGUUAUCAAGAAGUCAAGAAUCACAGACUCAUUCAGAAGAAAAGUCACAUGUAAUUAUGGAUAAGACAUUUUCUUGGCGAAGUGAAAAAAUAUAUUAGUCAGAUAUAUAUGUAAUUAAAACAUGUAUUUGUAAUACUU